UGACAUUCCUGGGUGUGAGGGGCCUUUCC
rnacentral:piRNA from 1 species